rnacentral:rRNA from 1 species
AGUAACGGCGAGUGAAGCGGCAACAGCUCAAAUUUGAAAUCUGGCUCUUUCAGGGUCCGAGUUGUAAUUUGUAGAGGGUGCUUUGGAGUUGACUGUGGUCUAAGUUCCUUGGAACAGGACGUCGCAGAGGGUGAGAAUCCCGUAUGUGGCCGCCAGUCUUCGCCGUGUAAAGCCCCUUCGACGAGUCGAGUUGUUUGGGAAUGCAGCUCUAAAUGGGAGGUAAAUUUCUUCUAAAGCUAAAUAUUGGCCAGAGACCGAUAGCGCACAAGUAGAGUGAUCGAAAGAUGAAAAGCACUUUGGAAAGAGAGUCAAAAAGCACGUGAAAUUGUUGAAAGGGAAGCGCUUGCAGCCAGACUUGCCUGUAGUUGCUCAUCCGGGCUUUUGCCCGGUGCACUCUUCUAUAGGCAGGCCAGCAUCAGUCCCGGCGGUUGGAUAAAUGCCUGUUGAAUGUACCUCUCCUCGGGGAGGACUUAUAGCUUCGGGCGGCAUACAACCAGCUGGGAUUGAGGUCCGCGCAUCUGCUAGGAUGCUGGCGUAAUGGCUGUAAGCGGCCCGUCUUGAAACACGGACCAAGGAGUCUAACAUCUAUGCGAGUGUUUGGGUGUCAAGCCCGAGCGCGUAAUGAAAGUGAACGGAGGUGGGAACCCCUCGGGGUGCACCAUCGACCGAUCCUGAUGUCUUCGGAUGGAUUUGAGUAAGAGCAUAGCUGUUGGGACCCGAAAGAUGGUGAACUAUGCCUGAAUAGGGUGAAGCCAGAGGAAACUCUGGUGGAGGCUCGCAGCGGUUCUGACGUGCAAAUCGAUCGUCAAA